GUAAGAAAAAUGUAGCUUUUGUAUAAGAUAGGGAUUCUGUGAAACUCACUCAUCAGCCUGAAAAUGUCACCAGCUGUGUUGCCGACUGGUUAGAACGUUUCAGGUGUGAGAGGGCAGGUGUGUUUACGAGGCAGAACUCUCAGGUUCUAGGUGUGAGCGGGCACGUGUGUUUACGAGGCAGAACUCUCGGGUUGUAGGUGUGAGAGGGCACGUGUGUUUAUGAGGCAGAACUCUCGGGUUCUAGGUGUGAGAGGGCACGUGUGUUUACGAGGCAGAGCUCUCGGGUUCUAGGUGUGAGAGGGCAGGUGUGUUUACGAGGCAGAGCUCUCAGGUUCUGGGUGUGAGAGGGCACGUGUGUUUA
rnacentral:lncRNA from 1 species